GGAAGGUAGUGUAGUUAACACCUGACAUUAUUUGUACGUUACCUACACGAAGAAGACACCGGCGUAACUCCGUGCCAGCAGACCGCGGUAAGUACGGAGGGGUGCGAGCGUUAAUCGGAAUUACUGGGCGUAAAGCGCAUGCAGGCGGCCUGUUAAGUCAGAUGUGAAAGACCCGGGGCGUUAACCUCGGAAUUGCAUUUGAAACUGGCAGGCUAGAGUCUUGUAGAGGGGGGUAGGAAUUUCAGGUGUAGCGGUGAAAUGCGUAGAGAUCUGAAGGAAUACCAGUGGCGAAGGCGGCCCCCCUGGACAAAGACUGACGCUCAGAUGCGAAAGCGUGGGGAGCAAACAGGAUUAGAUACCCCUGGUAG
rnacentral:rRNA from 1 species